AAAUUGAAGAGUUUGAUCAUGGCUCAGAUUGAACGCUGGCGGCAGGCCUAACACAUGCAAGUCGAACGGUAACAGGAAGCAGCUUGCUGCUUUGCUGACGAGUGGCGGACGGGUGAGUAAUGUCUGGGAAACUGCCAGAGGGGGGGGGAUAACUAGUGGAAACGGUAGCUAAUACCGCAUAACGUCGUAAGACCAAAGAGGGGGACCUUCGGGCCUACUGCCAUCGGCUGUGCCCAGAUGGG
rnacentral:rRNA from 1 species